rnacentral:lncRNA from 1 species
GGAGGGUGAAGAUACCAGCUGCUCUGAGAGCAUCAGUGUUUCUCUGUGGAAUAUGAUCAUUCUCUGGCUCUGUAUUUUAAAGGAAUGAGACUGACGUUAUGGGAGUUUCUUUUACUCUGAAUGCUGAAGCACUAGUGAGGGUUGAUGGGAGCGACUGAGUGUUUACAGUUGACAGCUGACAUCAGAUGGAGGGACGGCACGAUUGAGAGCGAAACCAUCAACAAAUAGGCCUCCUGAGCGUGCUGGAUGCCCAAAACACUCACCAGCUGCUGUGGGACGUCCUCUCAGAUCGCUCUCCUCCAGCUGUCGUCCUAAAUUAGCUGAGCUCUGUGAAAAGAGAGCCGUUUCAACUGACCCCUUCUGUUCCUUGAAGCUCCAGCCGUCCGUGACACCCAAAUGCUGCCUGUCUUUCAUCAAACUGGUCACUCCUGGAGAAAAAUGGACUUUGAGUGAAGGGCGGCCCUUUAUGUGGGCUGACUCCCUCUAGGACGACUCUGAAACUAGUUGAGACUCAAAUGGGUGACCUAUGACAAUGUAACCAAUAAGGGGACUUGAGUUCUCGAUUUCCCAAGCAGCUGCAAGCAGGAUAUGAGCUUGAGCCGUGGGUAUCGGCGAUAAAACAAACCUUUCAUCGC